ACAAGCGGUGGAUGAUGUGGUUUAAUUCGAUGCAACGCGAAAACCUUACCCACCUUCGACAUGUACGGAACCCUUUAGAGAUAGAGGGGUGCUCGAAAGAGAGCCGUAACACAGGUGCUGCAUGGCUGUCGUCAGCUCGUGUCGUGAGAUGUUGGGUUAAGUCCCGCAACGAGCGCAACCCUUGUCAUUAGUUGCUACAUUCGGUUGGGCACUCUAAUGAGACUGCCGGUGACAAGCCGGAGGAAGGUGGGGAUGACGUCAAGUCCUCAUGGCCCUUAUAGGUGGGGCUACACACGUCAUACAAUGGCUGGUACAAAGGGUUGCCAACCCGCGAGGGGGAGCCAAUCCCAUAAAGCCAGUCGUAGUCCGGAUCGUAGUCUGCAACUCGACUACGUGAAGUCGGAAUCGCUAGUAAUCGUGGAUCAGAAUGUCACGGUGAAUACGUUCCCGGGUCUU
rnacentral:rRNA from 1 species